rnacentral:lncRNA from 1 species
GCAUUUGAGACUCGGCACUCGUGGACAGACGGGCGUUCAGGGACUGGGGAGUUUUUGGAGGGGGGUGGGGAGGCCAAUAAACCAAGAAAACGUCAGAAAUAAAAGUCGCAUCAAGUAUGCUGAUCUCUGUAUUUCCUAUUUUUGUUUUGAAAUUUGAUUUUAACUAUUGUUUUUUUUUUUUCUGGUUGUGUCUGUAUUUUUUCCACCCCCACAGGCGCCGAGCUGCGCUGUUUUCUUUCUUUCUUUUUGAUUUUUUUCUUUUUCUUUUUCUUUUCUCGAAACUCUGAAGCCAGACUGUCUUCUUCACCGCUCCCGGGCUGCACCACUGUGGGCACAUCAAGCUUCGUCUGGCUCACCUGCAUGGUUCCGGCUGAUUCCUGCCUGAGAUGGCCCAUCGUACAACUAGGAUCCCAGAAUCUCCUGUCUGCACUCUGCGGAAGAAGGACCUAUUUCAGUCUCUGGCCAGGGUCUCUCACAGCCGAUGGGGUCUUGGAAGACAGGGUGAAGUUGCAGAAGACUGGGGUGGGAUGCGAAGGCAUGCGAAGGACUUGGAAAGGGAAUUUAGGAAUACUAUACAUCAGUGCCCACCGAUGAUAUGCAUACAGGGCGAGGGCAGCCACCGCCCCUGCCUCACGCACCUAACCCCGGCUGCUCGCUGGGAUUGUCUGAGGGGGACAACCCAGGUCUGGAUGUGGUGGCAUUUUUUCAGAGAGUGGAACUGAAGAUGGAUGAAGCAGGUACUUGCUGUGUCUGCUUGGCAGGGCAGAGCUGGAGAAAUGGAAGGGGAAAAGAAGAGAUGCUGACUGUCGUAAGAUUGUCUGCUGCCAGCUCCGCAGUCUUAAUCUAAGGAAGGAUGGCAUAGUGGAUCUGCCAGCACGUGCAUGGAGGAACUGUAAAUUGCAGUGUGGAUGUCCCUGGUACUGUCAAGGAAGAAACUGAUGGGCUGGGUGACUGUACAGUGUCCCCAGAGAAAAAUAGCAGCCUUGCAGCAUGGAUUUAAGUGCAUGUGCAUGCGUGUAGAGACAUGGAAGAGACUGUGUAACACAUACACACACAGAGAGAGAUAUGAGAGAGAGAGAGAGAGAGAGAGAGAGAGAGAGAAAGAGAGAGACUCUUUGCUGGGUUGGGUUUGAUUACAAGCCAGUGUUUUCAGCUCCUGCUCAAGACCUAUUUCCUGGCUAGCCAGAAAGCUCGGCCAGAGCAGCUGCAUAUAGACUUUUCUUUUUAACGGCAUAGCAAACCCCUUCAGUUUUAACUCCUUGAAGUUCUAAGUGCUCAGCGUUGGGCUAAGGCUCACUGUACGGUUUUGUUUUCUUCUCCUACAGAGCCCUGUAAACACAGCUGUAUUCAGUAUGGCAGAAAAAUUCUGUCCCUUAAAUAGAAAUGCGAUCAAUUUAAUCAAAAUAAAUGUAUCCCAGAUGACUCUGAGGCCAGCUGGAUACCACAGGCUUCAGAAGCUAAGCAUUCAGUGGAGAUGGAUACAGUGUUAGAUUUACAUGCUUUCAAAUGCUAGGAUCAGCUAUGCUUAAUAAAGGAAAUUCUUUAAGGAAAA